rnacentral:rRNA from 1 species
CAGUAGCCACGGGAAUACGUAGGGUGCAAGCGUUAAUCGGAAUUACUGGGCGUAAAGCGUGCGCAGGCGGUUUGUUAAGACAGGUGUGAAAUCCCCGGGCUCAACCUGGGAACUGCAUUUGUGACUGGCAAGCUAGAGUGUGGCAGAGGGGGGUGGAAUUCCGCGUGUAGCAGUGAAAUGCGUAGAUAUGCGGAGGAACACCGAUGGCGAAGGCAGCCCCCUGGGCCAACACUGACGCUCAUGCACGAAAGCGUGGGGAGCAAACAGGAUUAGAUACCCGCGUAGUCCCUGUCUCUUAUAC